GACCAGACUGUAGCUCCCAAAGAAGUCUUGCCCUGAAGCUGGUGAUUUAGGGACUACGUGUUCUGGGAGAGGUCUGGGAAAGCAGCCUCCAGAGUAGCUGCAAUAGCUGAGAUGACAGGCGUGCGCCACUGCACCAGUGUGCUUGGGCUUGGAAAGCCAACAUGUCUUCUGCAUUGAGGGCCUCCUCUCAGAGCACACACCCCUCAACCUCCUGAGAUACAGAGUCAAGCCUGGCAGGUGACCAGAGAGCAGCUCAACAUGCCAAGUCUUCCAUGUAAUCCUCUAAGUGGCUAUAACCAGAAGAAAAAAAUCUCCACAGACCUCCUCAACUGUAUCUCCUGAUCAAAAAAUUUUUUUCCAUUAUAGACUUUAAAAUACAACCUACGGCCACUCUUCCCCAAUAUGACAUCACCCUUUGGAGAUGGAACAGGACAGGGCAUAGGGUGAUAAAAUCCCUGUGUGGGAUUCUCCUUGAGUCUGAGCCUCAUAUUUGGGAAUUCUGUGACAAGUCCCACCGAGCAGGCUGAGUUCCCCUGGAGUACUCUCAUCUGCCAGUUCCCACCAGGUCCCCUCAAAGGAGUAGCAGCAGAAGUGAACUACAAUUUUAGGUUAUGAGGCAAAUACCUUCUCCUUCUCCAGAGGGGAGCGGAGCUUUUGAAGGUAAUUCAACCUGCAUGGUGCCACUGUGCAUUCCAGCCUCCCCCACUUCACAAACAUCUCUACCCUGUUCACUUUGAGCCUGUUCCAACUUGACUUUGGCUGAUACCUAUCUUCCCAAC
ensembl:lncRNA